AUGCACUUGGAGGAUGUAUAGCAAUAGCUAAUUGCCCCAGAUAAUAACUGGGGCAAUAUCGACUUUGUCGAAUAAAAUUCUAGGUAGAUUUAUGAUAAUGACAUUAUCUGCCUAUGUGUCUUGACCAAAUUACGUGCCAGCAAUCGCGGUAAUACGUAGAAGACUAGUGUUAUUCAUCUUUAAUAGGUUUAAAGGGUACCUAGACGGUAAAUCAAGCCUGCAAGGGGACUAAUUUACUAGAGUUACUUGUGAGGGGGUAGUAAAGUACUAUUGGUGUAGAGAUGAAAUUCUGUCAUACCUUUUUUCAAAAGAAAAACUAUGGCACAGGUAUAGGCGAAAGCAUCCCCUUAUGUGAUAACUGACGUUGAAGGACGAAGGCUUUUUGUCGCGAACAGGAUUAGAUACCCCAGUAGUCAAAGCAGAAAAUGAUGAAUGUCAUAGAUUAGACAUGUAAUAGUUUACUCUAUAAAUGAAAGUGUAAGCAUUCCACCUCAAGAGUAAUUUGGCAACAUUGGAACUGAAAUCAUUAGACCGUUUCUGAAACCAGUAGUGAAGUAUGUUGUUUAAUUUGAUAAUCCGCAAAAAACCUUACCACAACUUGAAUAUUUAUAUCUAUUUUUUUUCCUAAAAGAAAAAAAAAUAUAUCUACAAGCGUUGCACGGCUGUCUUCAGUUAAUGUCGUGAGAUUUUGGUUAGUUCCAUUAAAUUAACGUAAACCCUUACUUUAUUUUUAUAUAAAGUAGUUCCCCACUAGAUUGGAUAUGAUAACAGGACAAAGA
rnacentral:rRNA from 1 species